rnacentral:rRNA from 1 species
GAUCGAACGGGGAGUGACAUUGUAUACAUGAUAAUAUUUUAGUGGCGGACGGGUGAGUAACACGUGGGUAACCUGCCCUAUGGAGGGGGAUAACAUUCAGAAAUGAGUGCUAAUACCGCAUAAUAUAGCUUUAUCGCAUGGCAAAGCUAUCAAAGAUUUAUUGCCAUAGGAUGGACCCGCGGCCCAUUAGCUAGUUGGUGAGGUAACGGCCCACCAAGGCGACGAUGGGUAGCCGAUCUGAGAGGAUGAACGGCCACAUUGGAACUGAGACACGGUCCAUACUCCUACGGGAGGCAGCAGUGGGGAAUAUUGCACAAUGGGGGAAACCCUGAUGCAGCAACGCCGCGUGAGCGAUGAAGGCCUUCGGGUCGUAAAGCUCUGUCUUAGCUGACGAUAAUGACGGUAAGCUAGGAGGAAGCCACGGCUAACUACGUGCCAGCAGCCGCGGUAAU